AACGAACGCUGGCGGCAUGCCUAACACAUGCAAGUCGAACGAAGGCUUCGGCCUUAGUGGCGCACGGGUGCGUAACACGUGGGAAUCUGCCCUUUGCUUCGGAAUAACAGUUAGAAAUGACUGCUAAUACCGAAUAAUGUCGCAAGACCAAAGAUUUAUCGGCAAAGGAUGAGCCCGCGUAGGAUUAGCUAGUUGGUGGGGUAAAGGCUCACCAAGGCGACGAUCCUUAGCUGGUCUGAGAGGAUGAUCAGCCACACUGGGACUGAGACACGGCCCAGACCCCUACGGGAGGCAGCAGUGGGGAAUAUUGGACAAUGGGCGAAAGCCUGAUCCAGCAAUGCCGCGUGAGUGAUGAAGGCCUUAGGGUUGUAAAGCUCUUUUACCAGGGAUGAUAAUGACAGUACCUGGAGAAUAAGCUCCGGCUAACUCCGUGCCAGCCGCCGCAGUAA
rnacentral:rRNA from 1 species